GUGGUGGAACCUUCAGCUGAUGCUGCCGUAUUAGGUGUUGAGAGUCAGGCUGGUCUCGUCGAGAUGGAUACCGACAUGGAAGUAAAUGUUCUGAGUACCUAGGUAGAGGCUUCGGUCCAGCCCCGUGGGAGCCAGGUUGCUGUAGCUGUACCCGGGAGGAGGAGCAAAAGGUUAAGGACAUUUUCUACUAAGUUGGAUGGUUGGUUCCAGUACGACAAGAAGACUAAAGUGUUAGUUGGACACCCUUCUCCGGUCGUUAAGUAUCCUAACCAUAUCGAUGACCCUGAGGAACGGUUCUAGAAUUCUAUUAAGAAGUUGAAGUCCUCCAGAUCAAUCAGUAUUGGUGGUGAGGCUUCUCUUUCUGUCAAAGAUGUUCUUGAUAUAAUAGAGAGAAAAAAACAUCUCUCAUCCAAGGUCAUGGAUGCUUUGAUCAAGUUUAGCCGGCACUUAUUACAGACUGAGGACCUUAAUGGUGAAAAACUGCGUGUUGACUUAUUAGAUUCGAAGUUUGUAUCUUUGUUGUUUUGACAAUUCCCGAAGUUUUCCAAAUCCACUGCUCACGCUAAAUUCAAAUUUCCUGGCGACAUUGUUGCCCAACUAGUAGGUAGUGGAGAAAGUGGACUUGCUGAGCUUUUUACCGAAGAAGCUGACUUCCUGUAUGCGCCAUUUAAUUUUGAUAGGAAGCAUUGGGUGUCUUUGUGCAUCGAUCUCUGCAGCACGAGUAUCGUUGUUCUUGACUCCAAUACCCAACUUCCGAAAGAUCAUGAUAUAUUUGGUGAAAUACAACCCUUUGCGCCAAUGCUGCCAUAUCUUCUCAUCCAGGCUGGGGUUUAUUAUGGGAAAAGGAAGAGGUCAACCACCCCUUUCAGCAUCACAAGGCCAUCUAGCAUACCCCAAGUCAAGUGCCUUGCAGACUCUGGCAUUAUGUCAAUUUUUCUGAUACACGCACAUGCAACCGGUGGGUUAGAAGAGUGUGGUGAGUUGACCGUCGAGCAAUUGGAUCCAGAGCUGAAGAAAUUUGUAUAUGCUAUAAUUCUUGCCAGUGUCGAGUAGGUAGGUCAUUGGUUGUUUUGCACAAUUCUCCUGGCAACUUAGUUCUUGUCCUUUAAUGUCUUUCUUAUGGUUGUUUAUAAGUGUUCUUCUUAGAUCACUUUCGCUGUUCCGGUUUGUUUUGGUCUGCCCCUCGUGAACAAUUUAUUGUAUUACCUGUGACAAACACUUGCUACUCAAAACG